GUAAAUUAACAAGAUAUUUAGUUUAAUUUAAAAUUAAAAAAUUUUAUUUAUUAGUAUUUUUAGAAAUUAUUAUUAUUUUUGUACUGUAGAGGAAAGUUGUAUUACGUAUGGAAUUAUAAUAUUAAUAGUACCUUUUGUAUCAGGGUAAAUUAACUGAUUUAAUUAUUUUAUUUUCCCGAAUCUGAAUGGUCAAAUUUUGUAUUAUUUGUUUGUGUCAAAAAGCUUUGUAAUACUUUAUUAGUAGUGAAAUGCUAUUCGUUUUCUAUUUAUCUGGUUAUUAGGGAAAUUAAAUUUAAUUUUACACUUUUGAACUAUAAAUGUUUAUAAAAAGAUAAUCUUUAAAAUAAGUGUUAAUUUAUUGAGGAUAAGCUCGGUAAGUAAAAUUAUUACAUUUUUAUAUUUUAUUUAUUUUUUUACUUUUAAAUUUUGUAUUUAGUUUUUAUUAAAUUAGUAAGGUUAGUUAAUAUUUUUUUAUGUAUAUUUUUGUACUUAAUUUUUUAGUUUAAUUUUUAAUCUUAAUUAAUAAUGAUUUAAUUAGUAUAAUUGAAUUAAUUAAGGUUAAUGAACUCGACAAAUACUAUUUCCAACUGUUUAUCAAAAACAUUUCUUUUUGUUUUUUUAAAAAGUAUCUUCUGCCCUAUGGUAAAAUUUCUAAAUGGCUGCAGUAUUUUGACUGUGCAAAGGUAGCAUAGUAAUUAGUUUUUUAAUUGAAAGCUUGAAUGAAUGGAUGUAUGAGAAUUAUAUUUUAUUUUUUUAAAUGUUAAAAUUUAAAUUUAAAGUUAAAAUGCUUUAUUAAUUUAUUGGGACGAUAAGACCCUAUAGAACUUUAUAUAGGCUCAUAUUACUAAGUUUUAUUAAUUAACAUUUUUAAUUUUAAGUCUAUAUUUUGCUGGGGUGGUGACUAAAUAUUUAACUUUAGUUUUAAAAUUCAUUUAUUUAUGUAAUUUUAGAUCCUUAUAAUAUAGAUAGGAAAUAAGAUUAAGUUACCUUAGGGAUAACAGCGUAAUUUUGAUGGGGAGUUCAUAUCUAUAUUGUAUUUUGCGACCUCGAUGUUGAAUUAAGAAAAUUCCAAGAAGCAGUCUUCUUAGAAAUAAGUCUGUUCGACUUUUAAAUUCUUACAUGAUUUGAGUUCAAACCGGCGUGAGCCAGGUUGGUUUCUAUCUGAUAAACAUUAGUUUUUUACUUAGUACGAAAGGACCAGUUAUAAAUUACUUAAUUAGGGUAAAUCUAUUUUAAU
rnacentral:rRNA from 1 species